rnacentral:rRNA from 1 species
GUUUGCGGCCAUGCCACCCUGAACAAGCCUGAUCCUGUCUGAUCUCGGAAGCUAAGCAAGGUCGGGCCUGCUCAGUACUUGGAUGGGAGACCACCUAGGAAGACCAGGUGCUGUAGGCA